CGGAAUGUAGCGCAGCCUGGUAGCGCAUCUGGUUUGGGACCAGAGGGUCGCAGGUUCAAAUCCUGCCAUUCCGA
rnacentral:tRNA from 1 species